GGGGUAUUGGUGAAGAUGGUUAACACAUCCGACUUUCUAUCGGAGAUUCAGGGGUUCAAGUCCCCUAUACCCUACCA
rnacentral:tRNA from 5 species